AUGCCUCCUUCGCCAGCGUAUUCCUGCGAGCGGGGGUCCUACCUGCUCCUGCGCCCGCGGGCUCCGCUGGGUCCGCGCCGCCGGCCCCCGGAGGUGCGCCCCCCGCUCGAGCGGCGACGGCCAGGCCGGGGUUGGGGGGGGGAGCGGGGGGCGCUGCCGCGGGGCGGGGAGGGGGCAGCUGAGUUGUCCCGAACACUGUUUGCCUUGCAGAAACACUUAAAAAAAAAAAAAAAAAAAGCCGAAACGCGAACCAGGAGCACAACGAAGCCAGGCCCCGGCCCGACCUCCGCUCUGUCCGCGCAGGAGCGGGGAGACCCUCCCGGAGGCGCGCGGGCGCGUGUCCGCGUGCGCGCGCAGGGGAGAGGCCAGGGGGGCGGGGGGGGGCUCGCCCACCUGCCUCCCGCGCGGAUCGCUGACCCACGCGGGACGCUCCCGAAGCGGGUCUCCGGGAACGGAAUUCGGGCCCGGGGGCUGCGCGCCGGAGGCGGGGGAAGCGGCGGCAGAGGAGCUGGGAGGACGCGGACAGGGGGGAGGCGGGGGGCGGGCAGGGACCGAGGCCAGAGGCCGCCGGACGCGCGGAAGUGGGGACGCGUCGGAGGCGAGCGCCGCGGGGGGUCACGCACACUUGGCUGCUACGCUCCAGUCAGCGACCGGGAACCAAACACCGGUGCCUGGGGAGCCAGAGAGGUGCCCUCGGUGCUGGGGUCCCGACGCCACGGGCUGCCCCCGGCCUCUGGGGGCUGCGCCCUCGGGUCUCCUCCCGCGCGGCCGCAGGCGGCUCCAGGCCAGGGGCGAGGGGACCCCCCACCCCCCCACUCCCGCCUGCCAGGGUUCUCCCGCGCGCUCGCUCUGCGGGGACAGGUCUCACCGGAACCGUGUUUGAGAACCUCCGAAGAGCGCCGCAUCUGCAGCCCCGUCGGACGAGCCCGGAGGUACCCGCGCCGGAGAGAGAUUGGCGUCUCGUUGGGACUUGCUCUUCGCGCAGUUCAAGGCGGCCAGCGCUGCUUUGCGAGAAACAGAGGGAGACGGAAACAAAGGAAGUUGCAGAUCCGAACUUCGUGA
rnacentral:lncRNA from 1 species